AGAGUUUGAUCAUGGCUCAGAUUGAACGCUGGCGGCAUGGCUAAAACAUGCAAGUCGAACGGGCCCGCAAGGGCUAGUGGCGAAAGGGUCAGUAAUACGAUCGAACGUGCCCCGAGGUGGAGGAUAGGCAUGGGAAACUGUGCGUAAGACUCCAUGUGGUCCCCGGACCAAAGAUUUAUCGCCUCGGGAGCGGCGAUCGUCCUAUCAGCUAGUUGGCGGGGUAAUGGCCCACCAAGGCGAAGACGGGUAGCAGGUGUGAGAGCACGACCUGCGACAUCGGGACUGAGACACUGCCCGGACUCCUACGGGAGGCUGCAGUAACGAAUCUUCCGCAAUGGGCGAAAGCCUGACGGAGCAAUGCCGCGUGCGGGAUGAAGCGCCUAUGGCGUGUAAACCGCUGUCAGGGGACGGAACCAAUGAUUGUCCCCAGAGGAAGUGGCGACUAACUCUGUGCCAGCAGUCGCGGUAAUACAGAGGCCACGAGCGUUAAUCGGAAUCACUGGGCUUAAAGGGUGCGCAGGCGGCUCGGAAAGCGUUCCGUGAAAUCCCCCGGCUCAACCGGGGAACUGCGGAGCGAACUGCCGAGCUUGAGACAAGUAGGGGCGGGCAGAACUGUAGGUGGAGCGGUGAAAUGCGUAGAUAUCUACAGGAAUGCCGAUGGUGAAGACGGCCCGCUGGGCUUGUUCUGACGCUCAUGCACGAAAGCGUGGGGAGCAAACAGGAUUAGAUACCCCGGUAGU
rnacentral:rRNA from 1 species